rnacentral:rRNA from 1 species
UACGUAGGUGGCAAGCGUUGUCCGGAAUUAUUGGGCGUAAAGCGCGCGCAGGCGGUCUCUUAAGUCUGAUGUGAAAUCCCGCGGCUCAACCGCGAGCGGCCAUUGGAAACUGGGAGACUUGAGUGCAGAAGAGGAGAGUGGAAUUCCAUGUGUAGCGGUGAAAUGCGUAGAUAUAUGGAGGAACACCAGUGGCGAAGGCGACUCUCUGGUCUGUAACUGACGCUGAGGCGCGAAAGCGUGGGGAGCAAACAGGAUUAGAUACCCUCGUAGUCC